GUUGUAUGGUUAAGUGACUAAGCGUACACGGUGGAUGCCUGGGCAGUCAGAGGCGAUGAAGGACGUACUAACUUGCGAUAAGCGCAGAUAAGGCAGUAAGAGCCGUUUGAGUCUGCGAUUUCCGAAUGGGGAAACCCAACUGCAUAAGCAGUUACUGUUAACUGAAUACAUAGGUUAACAGAGCAAACCGGGGGAACUGAAACAUCUAAGUACCCCGAGGAGAAGAAAUCAACCGAGAUUCCGGUAGUAGCGGCGAGCGAACCUGGAUUAGCCCUUAAGCACUCGGUGAAGUAGGUGAACAAGCUGGAAAGCUUGGCGAUACAGGGUGAUAGCCCCGUAACCGACGCUUCAUCGAGCGUGAAAUCGAGUAGGGCGGGACACGUGAUAUCCUGUCUGAAUAUGGGGGGACCAUCCUCCAAGGCUAAAUACUCCUGACUGACCGAUAGUGAACCAGUACCGUGAGGGAAAGGCGAAAAGAACCCCUGUGAGGGGAGUGAAAUAGAACCUGAAACCGUGUACGUACAAGCAGUAGGAGCACCUUCGUGGUGUGACUGCGUACCUUUUGUAUAAUGGGUCAGCGACUUAUAUUCAGUGGCAAGGUUAACCGUAUAGGGGAGCCGUAGCGAAAGCGAGUCUUAACUGGGCGCUCAGUCUCUGGAUAUAGACCCGAAACCGGGUGAUCUAGCCAUGGGCAGGUUGAAGGUUGAGUAACAUCAACUGGAGGACCGAACCGACUAAUGUUGAAAAAUUAGCGGAUGACUUGUGGCUAGGGGUGAAAGGCCAAUCAAACUCGGAGAUAGCUGGUUCUCCCCGAAAGCUAUUUAGGUAGCGCCUCGGACGAAUACUACUGGGGGUAGAGCACUGUUAAGGCUAGGGGGUCAUCCCGACUUACCAACCCUUUGCAAACUCCGAAUACCAGUAAGUACUAUCCGGGAGACACACGGCGGGUGCUAACGUCCGUCGUGGAGAGGGAAACAACCCAGACCGCCAGCUAAGGUCCCAAAGUAUUGCUAAGUGGGAAACGAUGUGGGAAGGCUCAGACAGCUAGGAUGUUGGCUUAGAAGCAGCCAUCAUUUAAAGAAAGCGUAAUAGCUCACUAGUCGAGUCGGCCUGCGCGGAAGAUGUAACGGGGCUAAGCAAUACACCGAAGCUGCGGCAAUGUCUUUUAGACAUUGGGUAGGGGAGCGUUCUGUAAGCCGUUGAAGGUGAAUCGUAAGGUUUGCUGGAGGUAUCAGAAGUGCGAAUGCUGACAUGAGUAACGACAAAGGGGGUGAAAAACCUCCUCGCCGGAAGACCAAGGGUUCCUGUCCAACGUUAAUCGGGGCAGGGUGAGUCGACCCCUAAGGUGAGGCCGAAAGGCGUAAUCGAUGGGAAACGGGUUAAUAUUCCCGUACUUCUGACUAUUGCGAUGGGGGGACGGAGAAGGCUAGGUGGGCCAGGCGACGGUUGUCCUGGUUCAAGUGCGUAGGCUUGAGAGUUAGGUAAAUCCGGCUCUCUCUAAGGCUGAGACACGACGUCGAGCUGCUACGGCAGUGAAGUCAUUGAUGCCAUGCUUCCAGGAAAAGCCUCUAAGCUUCAGAUAGUCAGGAAUCGUACCCCAAACCGACACAGGUGGUCGGGUAGAGAAUACCAAGGCGCUUGAGAGAACUCGGGUGAAGGAACUAGGCAAAAUGGUACCGUAACUUCGGGAGAAGGUACGCUCUUGAUGGUGAAGUCCCUCGCGGAUGGAGCUGACGAGAGUCGCAGAUACCAGGUGGCUGCAACUGUUUAUUAAAAACACAGCACUGUGCAAAAUCGCAAGAUGACGUAUACGGUGUGACGCCUGCCCGGUGCCGGAAGGUUAAUUGAUGGGGUUAGCGCAAGCGAAGCUCUUGAUCGAAGCCCCGGUAAACGGCGGCCGUAACUAUAACGGUCCUAAGGUAGCGAAAUUCCUUGUCGGGUAAGUUCCGACCUGCACGAAUGGCGUAAUGAUGGCCACGCUGUCUCCACCCGAGACUCAGUGAAAUUGAAAUCGCUGUGAAGAUGCAGUGUACCCGCGGCUAGACGGAAAGACCCCGUGAACCUUUACUACAGCUUGGCACUGAACAUUGAACCUACAUGUGUAGGAUAGGUGGGAGGCU
rnacentral:rRNA from 1 species